UCGAUCUGUUGCGGCGCGAUGAAAUGGAUAUGGCUGUCGAUGCCGCCCGCUGUCAGGAUGCGGCCUUCACCGGCAAUGAUUUCCGUAGAGGGACCGAUCACGAUGGUCACGCCAUCCUGGGUAUCGGGAUUGCCCGCCUUGCCGAUGGCGGCGAUGCGGCCGUUCUUCAGGCCGACAUCCGCCUUGAUGAUGGCGGUAUGAUCAACGAUCAGCGCAUUGGUGAUGACCGUGUCCAUCGCCCCUUGGCCACGGGUCGCCUGUGACUGGCCCAUGCCGUCGCG
rnacentral:sRNA from 1 species